rnacentral:misc_RNA from 1 species
CAGAGUUACACAACUCCAACCCUUGUGAACCAUACCCAAAUCGUUCUCGUUGCUUCCGGCGGGGGGGACGGGGGGGCCUGAAAACGGCCCGCCCGCCCCGCCCGCCGGGGGCCGCGGGCCCUACGAACCUUUAUAUCUCAACCACCAGAAACCGUCUGAGGAUACAAAACAAAUAAUCA